CCUACGGGUGGCUGCAGUGAGGAAUAUUGGUCAAUGGACGAGAGUCUGAACCAGCCAAGUAGCGUGAAGGAUGACUGCCCUAUGGGUUGUAAACUUCUUUUAUAAAGGAAUAAAAUGAGGCACGUGUGCCUUUUUGCAUGUACUUUAUGAAUAAGGAUCGGCUAACUCCGUGCCAGCAGCCGCGGUAAUACGGAGGAUCCGAGCGUUAUCCGGAUUUAUUGGGUUUAAAGGGAGCGUAGAGGGGUUGUUAAGUCAGUUGUGAAAGUCUGCGGCUCAAACGGAGAAUUGCAAUUGAUACUGGCGGUCUUGAGUACAGGUGAGGUGUGCGGAAUGCGAGGUGUAGCGGUGAAAUGCUUAGAUAUAACGAAGAACCCCGAUUGCGAAGGCAGCUUACUAAACUGUAACUGACACUGAGGCUCGAAAGUGUGGGUAUCGAACAGGAUUAGAUACCCUAGUAGUC
rnacentral:rRNA from 1 species